UACGAAGGGGGCUAGCGUUGCUCGGAAUCACUGGGCGUAAAGCGCACGUAGGCGGCUUUUUAAGUCAGGGGUGAAAUCCUGGAGCUCAACUCCAGAACUGCCUUUGAUACUGGGAAGCUUGAGUCCGGAAGAGGUGAGUGGAACUCCGAGUGUAGAGGUGAAAUUCGUAGAUAUUCGGAAGAACACUAGUGGCGAAGGCGGCUCACUGGUCCGGUACUGACGCUGAGGUGCGAAAGCGUGGGGAGCAAACAGG
rnacentral:rRNA from 1 species